rnacentral:rRNA from 1 species
GACGAACGCUGGCGGCGUGCUUAACACAUGCAAGUCGAACGGAAAGGCCCUGCUUUUGUGGGGUGCUCGAGUGGCGAACGGGUGAGUAACACGUGAGUAACCUGCCCUUGACUUUGGGAUAACUUCAGGAAACUGGGGCUAAUACCGGGUAGGAGCUCCUGCUGCAUGGUGGGGGUUGGAAAGUUUCGGCGGUUGGGGAUGGACUCGCGGCUUAUCAGCUUGUUGGUGGGGUAGUGGCUUACCAAGGCUUUGACGGGUAGCCGGCCUGAGAGGGUGACCGGCCACAUUGGGACUGAGAUACGGCCCAGACUCCUACGGGAGGCAGCAGUGGGGAAUAUUGCACAAUGGGCGGAAGCCUGAUGCAGCAACGCCGCGUGCGGGAUGACGGCCUUCGGGCUGUAAACCGCUUUCGCCUGUGACGAAGCGUGAGUGACGGUAAUGGGUAAAGAAGCACCGGCUAACUACGUG